rnacentral:ncRNA from 1 species
CAUAGGGAGGCCGAAAACUAUUAAUUAGAGUAGGCA